rnacentral:rRNA from 1 species
AUGAACGCUGGCGGCGUGCCUAAUACAUGCAAGUCGAGCGAACGGACGAGAAGCUUGCUUCUCUGAUGUUAGCGGCGGACGGGUGAGUAACACGUGGAUAACCUACCUAUAAGACUGGGAUAACUUCGGGAAACCGGAGCUAAUACCGGAUAAUAUUUUGAACCGCAUGGUUCAAAAGUGAAAGACGGUCUUGCUGUCACUUAUAGAUGGAUCCGCGCUGCAUUAGCUAGUUGGUAAGGUAACGGCUUACCAAGGCAACGAUGCAUAGCCGACCUGAGAGGGUGAUCGGCCACACUGGAACUGAGACACGGUCCAGACUCCUACGGGAGGCAGCAGUAGGGAAUCUUCCGCAAUGGGCGAAAGCCUGACGGAGCAACGCCGCGUGAGUGAUGAAGGUCUUCGGAUCGUAAAACUCUGUUAUUAGGGAAGAACAUAUGUGUAAGUAACUGUGCACAUCUUGACGGUACCUAAUCAGAAAGCCACGGCUAACUACGUGCCAGCAGCCGCGGUAAUACGUAGGUGGCAAGCGUUAUCCGGAAUUAUUGGGCGUAAAGCGCGCGUAGGCGGUUUUUUAAGUCUGAUGUGAAAGCCCACGGCUCAACCGUGGAGGGUCAUUGGAAACUGGAAAACUUGAGUGCAGAAGAGGAAAGUGGAAUUCCAUGUGUAGCGGUGAAAUGCGCAGAGAUAUGGAGGAACACCAGUGGCGAAGGCGACUUUCUGGUCUGUAACUGACGCUGAUGUGCGAAAGCGUGGGGAUCAAACAGGAUUAGAUACCCUGGUAGUCCACGCCGUAAACGAUGAGUGCUAAGUGUUAGGGGGUUUCCGCCCCUUAGUGCUGCAGCUAACGCAUUAAGCACUCCGCCUGGGGAGUACGACCGCAAGGUUGAAACUCAAAGGAAUUGACGGGGACCCGCACAAGCGGUGGAGCAUGUGGUUUAAUUCGAAGCAACGCGAAGAACCUUACCAAAUCUUGACAUCCUUUGACAACUCUAGAGAUAGAGCCUUCCCCUUCGGGGGACAAAGUGACAGGUGGUGCAUGGUUGUCGUCAGCUCGUGUCGUGAGAUGUUGGGUUAAGUCCCGCAACGAGCGCAACCCUUAAGCUUAGUUGCCAUCAUUAAGUUGGGCACUCUAAGUUGACUGCCGGUGACAAACCGGAGGAAGGUGGGGAUGACGUCAAAUCAUCAUGCCCCUUAUGAUUUGGGCUACACACGUGCUACAAUGGACAAUACAAAGGGCAGCGAAACCGCGAGGUCAAGCAAAUCCCAUAAAGUUGUUCUCAGUUCGGAUUGUAGUCUGCAACUCGACUACAUGAAGCUGGAAUCGCUAGUAAUCGUAGAUCAGCAUGCUACGGUGAAUACGUUCCCGGGUCUUGUACACACCGCCCGUCACACCACGAGAGUUUGUAACACCCGAAGCCGGUGGAGUAACCUUUUAGGAGCUAGCCGUCGAAGGUGGGACAAAUGAUUGGGGUGAAGUC